UACGUAGGGGGCGAGCGUUGUCCGGAUUCAUUGGGCGUAAAGCGCGCGUAGGCGGCUCCGCAAGUCGGCCGUGAAAUCGUCCGGGCUCCAACUCGGAGGGGUCGGGCGAGACUGCGAGGCUCGAGGUGGGCAGAGGGCAGUGGAAUUCCGGGUGUAGUGGUGGAAUGCGUAGAGAUCCGGAGGAACACCAGUGGCGAAGGCGGCUGCCUGGGCCUGGCCUGACGCUGAGGCGCGAAAGCGUGGGGAGCAAUCCGGG
rnacentral:rRNA from 1 species